CAGCUAACACUUUGUAGAAAGCAGUUUUUUUAAUUCCUGAAAAUAAUGCACACAGGAAAAUCACUAGACUAUCUGAUCAAAAAUUCUUUGUUUUCAUAUUUUGAAAAUUGUAAAUAAAAACGGACAGCGAUUCGGAUAUAUUUCCCCUAACAAACAAAAGAAGGUAAUUCCUAGCUGCUGCUAGGAACAAAACAAAAACUUGGGGCUCUGAAAGCAGCCCCCGACAGGCGCGAAAUUACAGCGUGAAAAAAGGACCUACAAAUAAACUGAGCUCCGCACGCGCCUGGCUCUCGCCUCGGGAGCACGCACCUCCCAGCCCCGCUCUCAGCAGCUCUCACUAUUUAAAGCCGGAUCUGGUGUUUAAAUGGAGAGGCGGUGACGUAGGCCUGAAAAGCACCUACCCAUCCUGGCAGAGUCUAUAUUAGAGAGCGGCAAUGGCUCUAUAUAAACAGGGCAGCCAAAGGGAGGAGGACCACAAAGCUCAGGGACUGAAAAGCAGGGUAAGCGGCCGCAGCCAUGAUGGAUCGACCCGAGUCGCCAACGAGUUUUGCUCUUAUUGCCCAGGCUGGAGUGCAAUGGCAUGAUCUCACCACAACCUCUACCUCCUGGAUUCAAGUGAUUGAUUCUCUUGCCUCGGCCUCCCAAGAAGCUGGGAUUACAGAUUGUGCUAAGUAAAGGGGAUACAUUCUGUAUUGCCCAACAAAUUAAAAUGAAACAUGUUUGCAGCACUCCUGACAGCACUAACCUUGGAGCUGAAAAGAGAAAGAAAAGCAACAGUAGGGAGAAGACUUUCCAGACUGCAGAUCCUCAGUAAUGGAAGCAGGGAUUGACUGCAAUUGAAGAUUACAAGAACGUUUUAUUAGAAUGCAAAAUUAAAUUUGUUAUUUUUAAUUGCACAUUGA